rnacentral:rRNA from 1 species
GAUGAAUGCUGGCGGCGUGCCUAACACAUGCAAGUCGAGCGGCAGCGCGGAGAGUUUACCCUCUGGCGGCGAGCGGCGGACGGCUGAGUAACGCGUGGGAACGUGCCCCAAAGUGAGAAAUAAUUGCCCGAAAGGGUGGCUAAUGCCGCAUAUGAUCUUCGGAUUAAAGGAUUUAUCCGCUUUGGGAGCGGCCCGCGUCGGAUUAGGUUGUUGGUGAGGUAAUGGCUCACCAAGCCGACGAUCCGUAGCUGGUCUGAGAGGAUGAUCAGCCAGACUGGGACUGAGACACGGCCCAGACUCCUACGGGAGGCAGCAGUGAGGAAUCUUCCACAAUGGGCGAAAGCCUGAUGGAGCAACGCCGCGUGCAGGAUGAAGGCCUUCGGGUUGUAAACUGCUUUUAUAAGUGAAGAAUAUGACGGUAACUUAUGAAUAAGCACCGGCUAACUACGUGCCAGCCGCCGCAGUAA